rnacentral:pre_miRNA from 1 species
AUACAGAUCACCUAGAGACCUUGUUAAAAUGCAGAUUCUGAUUCAGCAAGCCUAGGGUGGGGCCUGAGAUUCCGCAUUUCUAACAAGCUCCCAGGUGAUGAUGAC